AAUGAACGCUGGCGGCAGGCUUAACACAUGCAAGUCGAGCGAGCGGCGGACGGGUGAGUAAUGUCUGGGAAACCGCCUGAUGGAGGGGGAUAACUACUGGAAACGGUAGCUAAUACCGCAUACCAUCAGAUGUGCCCAGAUGGGAUUAGCUAGUAGGUGGGGUAAUGGCUAACCUAGGCGACGACCCCUAGCUGGUCUGAGAGGAUGACCGGCCACGCGGGAACGGAGACCCGGUCCAGACUCCUACGGGAGGCGGCGGUGGGGAAUAUUGCACAAUGAGCGCAAGCCUGAGGCAGCCCGGCCGCGGGUGUGUAGAAGGCCUUCGGGUUGUAAAGCACUUUCAGCGAGGAGGCGGUACUCGCAGAAGAAGCACCGGCUAACUCCGUGCCAGCAGCCGCGGUAAUUC
rnacentral:rRNA from 1 species